AUGGCCUACAGGGCGGAGGACGACUACGACUACCUCUUCAAGGUCGUGCUCAUCGGCGACUCCGGCGUCGGCAAGUCCAACCUCCUCUCCCGCUUCACCCGCAACGAGUUCAGCCUCGAGUCCAAGUCCACCAUCGGCGUCGAGUUCGCCACCAGGAGCAUCCGGGUCGACGACAAGGUCGUCAAGGCCCAGAUCUGGGACACGGCAGGCCAGGAGAGGUAUCGGGCAAUUACAAGUGCGUACUAUCGAGGGGCCGUCGGUGCGCUUGUCGUGUACGAUGUGACACGCCAUGUGACCUUUGAGAACGUGGAGAGGUGGUUGAAGGAGCUCCGGGAUCACACAGAUGCAAACAUUGUCAUCAUGCUUGUCGGCAACAAAGCUGAUCUCCGCCAUCUUAGGGCUGUAUCAGUGGAGGAUGCCAAGGCCUUCGCUGAGAGGGAAAGCACCUUCUUUAUGGAAACAUCUGCGCUGGAGGCCAUGAAUGUUGAGAACGCCUUCACUGAGGUUCUGACUCAGAUCUACCGUGUGGUCAGCAAGAAGGCCCUCGACAUAGGCGAUGACCCUGCUGCUCCACCGAGAGGGCAAACCAUCAAUGUUGGUGGCAAGGAUGAUGUCUCUGCUGUGAAAAAGGCAGGGUGCUGUUCAUCCUAA
rnacentral:rRNA from 1 species